rnacentral:misc_RNA from 1 species
CAGUUGUCCAUGCUUGCAUCAAGUAAUUUUGAUUGGCCUCUUCUUCAUCUUCUUCUUUUUUAACUUUCCUUCUUUUCUUAUCUUUGCUUUUUCCCUUGUUAUAACUGCCAUCUUUUGCUAAUAUUUUGGGGUUAGAUUGAGUUGGGGAUAGCUAUUCUUUAUUUUGUGCUACUGCUAAGCUAUUUUUUUAUGUUGUGCUAAGCCUUUCUUGUCAGGGAUCUAAAACAUUUAAUUAUCUGUAUUUAUGUGCUCUAUGCCAGUGGCGGAUGCACCUUCGAAAAUGAGGGGUCAAUUAACCCCUCCUUUAAUUAAAAAGUUCCACACACACUCACAUACAUGUUUGUUUAAUUUUUUUUUGGAAGUAUAUUUGUUUAAAUUGACUCCUCAUAAAUUUAGUUAUUGAACCUUCUUUUUGGUAAACAUUAAAAUAAAUUGUUUAUUUUUAUGACUUGCUUGAAUCUUGUAGUUUGUUCUCUUCUUUUUAACAGAAAAGGUUGGUUAGAUUGACUUAAUUUGAUUGCACUAAAUUUUUAGAUGUUGAACUCUUAAUACUUGAAAACCAAUUUGAAAACUUUCCUUUUGAUAUGCAUAUUUUUUUUUAUACAUUCAACUCCCCAAAAAAAAAUUCUAGAUCCAUCACUGUCAAGGAUGAUAUUUGCAUCAGAGUCCUAUGUUAACCAGGUGCAUGUACCUAAUACACACUGCAUAAACAGAUGCCAUAUCAUCUUCAUAUCAUCAUGCUGGAAAAGAAAGGAUGGAUGGACUCCUAAUGGCCCAAUGAAACACCAGAAACUACAUUGUCCAUGCAUAAUUCAAGCACAUCCCCCCAAAAAAACCCAUGGGCAUCCAGAAUAAAAAAAUGUCAGGAAAAAAAUAAAGAAUAUAAAUCUUAGAAAAAUGUUGUUUUUAGGCUCCCAACACUACCAGAAUUUUAAUCAAAUCAUACCACAAUGUUAACAGGAAAACGAUCAAAGACUCAAGGACUAGGUAGACUAAAAAGGAUGGGGAAAAAAACUGUAGCAAUUUAAUGUGACAGAGCUACUGAAGAGCAUUAGAUGACAGCAGAGAUCCCGGUUUACUAGUGCCAUUUGCCUGGAUAAUUGUUAGCAAAACUUGCAUAUUUGGUAACACAAGAUUGUGAUUUAAACCAUGGGAUUACCU